rnacentral:rRNA from 1 species
UACGAGGGGGGCAAGCGUUAUUCGAAAUGAUUGGGCGUAAAGGGCAUCUAGGCGGUUUAUUUUAGUUAUUUUCUUAAAUUUAAAAAAAAGAAAAAAAUACCAGAGCUUAACUGUGGUGAUUAAAUAAGUUAAAGUAAACUAGAGUAAGUCAGAGGAAAAUGGAAUUUCUGGAGGAGAGGUAAAAAUUUGUAGAUUUCAGAAGGAACAUCGAAAGCGAAGGCAAUUUUCUGGGACUUUACUGACGCUGACGUGCGAAAGCGUGGGGAGCAACCUGGGG